CUGGGUGGAUUAGUGGCGAACGGGUGAGUAACACGUGAGUAACCUGCCCUUAACUCUGGGAUAAGCCUGGGAAACUGGGUCUAAUACCGGAUAGGAGCGUCCACCGCAUGGUGGGUGUUGGAAAGAUUUAUCGGUUUUGGAUGGACUCGCGGCCUAUCAGCUUGUUGGUGAGGUAAUGGCUCACCAAGGCGACGACGGGUAGCCGGCCUGAGAGGGUGACCGGCCACACUGGGACUGAGACACGGCCCAGACUCCUACGGGAGGCAGCAGUGGGGAAUAUUGCACAAUGGGCGCAAGCCUGAUGCAGCGACGCCGCGUGAGGGAUGACGGCCUUCGGGUUGUAAACCUCUUUCAGUAGGGAAGAAGCGAAAGUGACGGUACCUGCAGAAGAAGCACCGGCUAACUACGUGCCAGCAGCCGCGGUAAUACGUAGGGUGCGAGCGUUAUCCGGAAUUAUUGGGCGUAAAGAGCUCGUAGGCGGUUUGUCGCGUCUGUCGUGAAAGUCCGGGGCUUAACCCCGGAUCUGCGGUGGGUACGGGCAGACUAGAGUGCA
rnacentral:rRNA from 1 species